UCCCCGUUACCGGGGCAGUAUGAUUAGAAAAAUUCAACUAAUCACAAGGGUUGCGCUCGUUGAUGGACUUAACCAAACAUCUCACGACACGAGCUGACGACGGCCAUGCAGCACCUGUCACUUCGUUCUAAAAAGCACUUGUUCCUUUCGGAGCAAUUCGAAGGAUGUCAAACCCUGGUAAGGUUUAUCGUUUACCGUCGAAUUAAAGAACAUGCUCCACCGCUUGUGCGGGUCCCCGUCAAUUCCUUUAUGUUUUAGCCUUGCGGCCGUACUCCACAGGCGGGAUGCUUAACGCGUUAGCUUCGCUACGGAAGGGGUCGAUACCCCCCACAGCUAGCAUCCAUCGUUUACGGCGUGGACUAC
rnacentral:misc_RNA from 1 species